CUGGCUCAGGAUGAACGCUGGCGGCGUGCUUAAUACAUGCAAGUCGAACGAAGAGCUUUGUAGCAAUACGAGGGCUCUUAGUGGCGAACGGGUGCGUAACGCGUUGGUGACCUGCCCCCAAAGUGUGGAAUAACAGUUCGAAAGGACUGCUAAUACCGCAUGUGAUCUUCGGUUUUAGAAUCCGAUGAUUAAAGCAGUAAUGCGCUUUGGGAGGGACCUGCGUCCCAUCAGCUAGUUGGUGAGGUAACGGCCCACCAAGGCUACGACGGGUAGGGAACCUGAGAGGGUGGCUCCCCACACUGGCACUGAAACACGGGCCAGACACCUACGGGUGGCAGCAGUAGGGAAUAUUGGGCAAUGGGCGAAAGCCUGACCCAGCAAACCGCCGCGUGCACGAUGAAGGUCUUCGGAUCGUAAAGUGCUUUUCUGAGAGAUGAGAAAGGACAGUAUCUCAGGAAUAAGUCUCGGCUAACUACGUGCCAGCCGCCGC
rnacentral:rRNA from 1 species